AGCAAAAUGAUGAGGUGAUUAUUAUAUCUGAAUAUGAUGUUGAACCCCAUAUCAUUCUGGUCUUCAAAGUUCUCUGAUUGCU